CCUUCUCCCUUUCUACUCUCUCCCUCUCCAGCCGCUCUUGUUCCAAAGCCUUCUCCCUUUCUACUCUCUCCCUCUCCAGCCGCUCUUGCUCCAAAGCCUUCUCCCUUUCUACUCUCUCUCUCUCCAGCCGCUCUUGCUCCAAAGCCUUCUCCCUUUCAACUCUCUCCCUCUCCAGCCGCUCUUGCUCCAAGGCCUUCUCCCUUUCUAUUCUCUCCCUCUCCAGCCGCUCUUGCUCCAAGGCCUUCUCCCUUUCUAUUCUCUCCCUCUCCAGCCGCUCUUGCUCUAAGGCCUUCUCCCUUUCUAUUCUCUCCCUCUCCAGCCGCUCUUGCUCCAAGGCCUUCUCCCUCUCUAUUUUCUCCCUCUCCAGCCGCUCUUG